UGUGUGGAGGGGGGGGUGAUUGAGAUACAGGCCAACUGCACUCUCCUGUGCCUCGAGAGAGACUGAGAAGGGAGGAGGGACAAAGAGGAAUGAAAGGCAAGAAAGGAAUGAGAGAGGCAGAGGAAGGAAGAAAAAGUGUAUGAGAACAGCAGUGUGAGGACUGACUGCCAAACCAACUGCCUGUUGCUCCAGUGGAUUCCUCCUUCUCCUUCUCCUCUCUCUCCUCUCUCUCUCUCUCUCUAUCCCAUCUGUGUGCGCCUCCUCCUCUCAUCUUCCUCUUGGAUCUUCUGUAGCUGGUGUGGGAGCACAGAGGCUGAAGAGCAUGUCACUGCCCCUGGAUCUAGGCCCCUACCACCGGGACCAGGCCAUGAGCACGCUGGAGAGGCAGCUCAUCUGCCCCAUCUGCCUGGAGGUCUUCACCAAGCCAGUAGUCAUCCUGCCUUGCCAGCAUAACCUCUGCCGCAAGUGUGCCAACGAGCUCUACCAGCCGUCACUGUUUCAGGUUGGUACCGGUGGGCGCUUCCGCUGUCCUUCCUGUCGGCACGAGGUGGUUCUUGAUCGGCAUGGCGUGUACGGGCUACAGCGCAAUUUACUGGUGGAGAACAUCAUUGAUGUUUACAAGCAGGAAUCUGCUAGUUCCCGGCCCCUGCCAAAAGUUCCAGUGCAACUCACCUGUGAGGAACACGAGGGUGAGAAGGUCAACAUCUACUGCAUCUCCUGCAAUGUUCCCACCUGCUCGCUCUGCAAGGUUUUUGGAGCCCACAAGUCCUGCCAGGUAGCCCCUCUGCCAGAGGUCUACCAGCAGCAGAAGGCAGAGCUCAGUGAUGGGAUUGACUCACUGGUGGCCAGAAAUGAUCAAGUCCAAGCUUCCAUCAGUGAGCUAGAGGAGAUCUGUCGGAACAUAGAGGACAACAGCAAGACCCAGAAGCAGGCUCUUUGUGAGAAGUUUGAUCGUCUGUCUACCAUAUUAGAAGAGCGCCGGAAGAUCAUGACGCAACGCAUCACUUAUGAACAGGAUGAUAAGACAAACCACACUCAAUCUCUGGUCCGUACCUAUGGGGAGCAGGUGAACUCUAACUCCAAGCUGGUGGAGAAUGCUCUGCACACCAUGGAGGAGCCUGAAAUGGCUGCCUUUGUUCAGAAUGCAAAGAUUCUCAUUGAGAAAGUGAAUGAGGCAGCCAAUACCAUUGUUGUGGAAACCCUUGAGCCUGGCUAUGAAAACAUGGACCACUACAAGGUGAAUUUCAAUGCAGAGGAGAGGGCUCUUUACCAGCUUGACUUCAUCAAGAUUGAAGAGGAAGUUGAGGAGGUCCCGGAAGAGCAGCCUGAGGCAGAACCUGAACCCAUUCCAGAACCGGAGACAGAACUGGACUCAGAGAAAGAACCAGAGCCUGAAGCCGGCCCUGCUCCCAUAUUGGAUCUUUUCCCCGAGGCAGAGGACUCAGAGCCAGUGCUAGAGCUGAAGUCUGAAACUUGGGGCGUCAAGGAUUCAGAAGAGGGGGAUAGGGAGGAGGUUCGGGGGCAGGCUGAGGGUUGCUCUGACCCCAAAAUCGUGGACCUUUGUAAACAAGAGGGGAUAAGCACCCAGCAGGAUGAGCAGGAGUGCGGGUGCGAGGAGCAUGAUGCAGGUGACUUGGGAACCCAGAGCUUGCUGGCAGGUGCUAACGAAGACACCAAGCUCUACCCCGGCUGGUACAAAGCCAACAGCUGGCAGGUGGCUAGUCCUAGUGUGGCCCAGUCCAGUGACUCACUGCAGGUGCCAGAUUGCCUUUCCCAAGUAGUAAGGGACUCCUCGCCCCAGUCUCCACCCCAGCCCCAAUUCCAACAGUCCUUCCCACUGCCCGUGUGGAUGGGCAGUGGUUUUAUCCCCAUGGCCCCAGAAAACCCAACCAGUCAUUUUGGGAGGGUUUCCUCAGAGACCGCUCCAGGGUUCCUCCAUCAGACAGGGGAUGGAGGCUCCGAUGUAGGCCAGCAUUCUACCAACCAAGGCAGCAUGAUUGCCAUCUCUCCACAGGUCAGUUUUUUCCCUCGGACUGGUUGUUCUCCUGCCGUGACCACCAAUCAUCAUUACCAUUGCUGCUGCUGCUGCUGCCAGUCCUGCUAGUCCUGCUGCUCUUUUCCAUCAAGUCACCUGUGCAUCAUGGCCGUCUCCGCCUUGCCUUUUUCAUCUUCCCCAACACUUUUCAUCAUCUCUGUCUUCUCGGUUGAGGGAAGGGCCUGGUUUAGCCAGCAUCACUCUGAGGAUCUCAUUGCCAUGUUCCUCCAUCACUUCCAUCUCUUUGUAGGCCGUCACCUUCUUCUUUUACUUCCUGGCUUUGAUGGUCAUUCUUCAGCGGGUUUGGGGGCACAUUCAGUGCAUCAUUUGUACAUAGCAGUGAAGGAAGAGCCAAGUUUCAGGGUCACCCUCCUUCAGUGGGACCCCAGGACGGGAGAGUGAUGGAGCAGAUCACUGGGUCAACCUCAGAGCCCAGCCCUGGCGCCCCCUUGUGGCUGGACAUGUAGGGUGACAGGGCAGGCAGGCAGUCUUUAGCCCCAGUGUACCCUGCGCAGCCCGGGCCCAGCCUCCCUGUCAGCGGUGACUCCACACGCCUCAGCUUCUCAUUCUCCUGGCUGAAUGCUCUCUCCAAAAAGGCAAAGCAGUGAGAGCUUUGUGUCAAUCAAUGCCUCACACUACUAUCCACAAAAGGCAAACUAUAAAUGAAUGAAGACCUGUAGGUGAUGGACUAUGCUGAUUCCAGCCAGGACAUGUUCUGAGGAAGGCUUGUCUGUAUCAGAUUUUUUUCUGAUAAAAGUGCUACAAACAGAUUAUAAUUUUAUGUCAAUAAUGAAUUUUCAAAUUGACCUUAGAAAAAUGACAAUGAGUGGAGUGUACAAUGAGUGGAGAGUCACAUUUACCAUUAUUGAGUACAGAUUCCCACCUUCCUGAAAUUAAUUAUUUGAUUGCUGUGCUCAAUAUGUCUGUAUCUGAGCUAUGGCUAUUCUAUGCCUCAGUUUAGUUGCUGUUUGAGCCAGUAUUUUUUCAGUAGUUUUAGAGACAUACAGCUUAGUUUAUAAUUAAUGGUUACCUUGGACACAUUUUUCCUCACACUCAUUGAUUAUUUUUAUAGUAGGCUACAAGAUGUUGGAAGUGUGAUGUCCUUCAGUGAUUGUGGAAUAAAGGGCAUGAAACUUG